UGGGGAAUAUUGCGCAAUGGACGAAAGUCUGACGCAGCGACGCCGCGUGAGGGAUGAAGGUUUUCGGAUCGUAAACCUCUGUCAGAAGGGAAGAAAGGCAUCUGUGCUAAUCAGCAGAUGAUUGACGGUACCUUCAAAGGAAGCACCGGCUAACUCCGUGCCAGCAGCCGCGGUAAUACGGAGGGUGCAAGCGUUAAUCGGAAUUACUGGGCGUAAAGCGCGCGUAGGCUGUUUUUUAAGUCAGUGGUGAAAUCCCCGUGCUCAACAUGGGAACUGCCAUUGAAACUGGGAAACUAGAGUGUGUGAGAGGAUAGUGGAAUUCCUGGUGUAGGAGUGAAAUCCGUAGAUAUCAGGAGGAACAUCAGUGGCGAAGGCGACUAUCUGGCACACAACUGACGCUGAGGUGCGAAAGCGUGGGGAGCAAACA
rnacentral:rRNA from 1 species